GACGAACGCUGGCGGCGUGCUUAACACAUGCAAGUCGAACGGAAAGGCCCUGCUUUUGCGGGGUGCUCGAGUGGCGAACGGGUGAGUAACACGUGAGUAACCCGCCCCUGACUUUGGGAUAACUUUAGGAAACUGGGGCUAAUACCGGAUAGGAGCUCCUGCUGCAUGGUGGGGGUUGGAAAGUUUCGGCGGUUGGGGCUGGACUCGCGGCUUAUCAGCUUGUUGGUGGGGUAGUGGCUUACCAAGGCUUUGACGGGUAGCCGGCCUGAGAGGGUGACCGGCCACAUUGGGCCUGAGAUACGGCCCAGACUCCUACGGGACGCAGCAGUGGAGAAUAUUGCACAGUGGGCGGAAGCCUGAUGCAGCAGCGCCGCGUGCGGGAUGACGUCCUUCGGGUUGUAAACCGCUUUCGCCUGUGACGAAGCGUGAGUGACGGUAAUGAGUAAAGAAGCACCGGCUAACUACGUG
rnacentral:rRNA from 1 species